rnacentral:lncRNA from 1 species
CUAGACCUUUCUAGAUCUAAACCUACUUUUCAUAAAUUCAUGCCAAGCCCGCGCCGAUGGUUUGUUGUGUUGUGUCUUGAGAAGUUGAGUGUUUGUGUGUCUCACCGUCACUGAGUUCGAGCACAAGUCUGAGCUGAAUGAGAGGUACUUUGUCUUUAGGCCCAUCUAGAUCUAGAUCUAGACUAGACUCUAGUACUGACUGUCAAAUGUCUCUAGAAAUCUACACUCAACUCCUACAAAUUUAUACUACAUCAUGAUCAAGUCUAGGCCUAGAGUCUACAUCAAUACAUUGUUGUAGGCUACUUGAAUUUUGAAGCAAGUUUAAAAUCUGUGCAAGCAAAUAGCCAAUAAAUAAAUGUGUGUUCUUCCUAAUCUACAUGUAAUCUUAGUCAAAUUCAACCUUUCACAUGGGACAUCUAAUGCUAAUUUACAUGUACAUGUAUCUAAUUUCACAUUUUAUCAAGCAUGAGUCUAGAGUUUUAACAAAACUUGACAGGAAUUGGCCCCUACGUUCUUAUGGAGGUUCAGUGACAUCAUCUUUCCUAAUUACCCAAUAGUAUGAAUCAAUAGCACUCAUUUCUUUAAUGCAAUCAAAGUAUCGUUAAUAUUUUUUUUAGAGUUUGCAAAAGCUUUUCAAAAUCAGAUUGUCUACAAUACAAAGAAUGCAAAACAUGUAAUAUCAUAGGAUUUAUUUGAUAAACAAUGAAUGAUAUUUUUUCAUUUCAUGUUCUAAUUUUAAUUCACUUUUUUCUAUUUUGUUGUGACAGAGACAGCAUGGGUGAAUAUAUUCACCAUCUCUGCCAGCUUGAUCGGAUCAGAGAGUUGAUAGGCAGACCUCAGAGAGGCCUUCAUGACCCAUGAACCCUUUUGAAGUGUAUGAUGAUGAGUCAUUUCGGACCAGGUACUGGUUUUCCAAAGAGACAGCGCUCUACCUCAUCAACUUGGUGGAUGAAGAGCUGAGGAGGACGACAGACAGAAACGACCCAAUACCUAUAAAGGUAGUGACAGCACUUUGAUUAUAUGCUGUUGGGUCAUUCCAAAAGAUGCAUGGUGAUGAGGCACAACUUUCACAGUCUUCUGUAUGCAGAGUCAUCAAAGACGUGUCAGAAGCGUUUGCAAGAAGAAGGAACCAAUUCAUGAAGUUCCCAACAUCAAGAGAAGAAGUAGAAGCAACACAGCAGCAGUUCUACCAAUACUGCAGGUUGCCAGGUUUUCUAGGUGCAAUUGUUAGGACUCAUGUCUACAUCAGGAGUCCUGGUGGAGAUCAAGCCCUGUAUUUUAUUAAUAGGAAGAACAGAUACUCUAUUAAUGAAAUGAAAAUUUUUCCUUUUUUUGGAGAUGCUCCCCAUUUACUUUUAAUCCAAUUAAUUAAAUGACCGAUAUGGAAUUGGUUCCCCCUUUAGUUUCUCUGAACGAAACGUACACCCAUGCAGUACUGUGGUCUGAAACAAUUAGACCGUAUGAUUUGAAAUCUAAUGGUUGAUAUAGUUCCUCCCAAAAACAUUUUUGCAAAAGGUACCAACCAUUUUGAAAGGGAAAUCGUCAUCAUCUUCAUCAUCAUCAACAUCAUCACUGAUAUCGUUAUUUGACUGCUUCAUUACCAUCGCCACCGACAACAUUGCUGUCAUCAUUAUCAUCACUGACAUCAUCAUCGACUUCAACAUUGUCUUCGUCAAUAACCUUGAAUACUUGUUUUGAUUAUCCAUAUUAAAUCGUCAAUAUUUAAAUAUAAA